rnacentral:rRNA from 1 species
GAUGAACGCUGGCGGCGUGCCUAACACAUGCAAGUCGAGCGAACAGACGAGGAGCUCGCGCCUUUGACGGUAGCGGCGGACGGGUGAGUAACAAGUGGGUAACCUACCACUAAGACGGGGAGAACUUCGGGGAACCGCAGCCGAUACUGGAUAAUACUUCGUACCGCAUGAAUCAAUAGUGAAAGAUGGCUUGCCCAUCACAUAUAGAUGGACCUGCGCUGUAUUGGCUAGUUGGUAAGGUAACGGCUAACCAAGGCAACGAUACGUAGCCGACCGGAGAGGUGGCUCGGCCACCCUGAAACUGAGACACGGUCCAGCCUCUUAGGGGGGGCGGCGGUGGGGAUACUGCCGCAAUGGGCGAAACCCUGUCGGGGCAACGCCGCGUGGGUGAGGAGGGUCUUCGGUUCGUAAGACUCUGUUAUUAGAAAAGAACAAACGUGUAAGUAACUGUGCUCGUCUUGCGGGUCCCUAAGCAGAAAGCCCCGGUUACCUACUU